GUAGGUGGCAAGCGUUGUCCGGAAUUAUUGGGCGUAAAGCGCGCGCAGGCGGUUCGUUUAAGUCUGAUGUGAAAGCCCACGGGCUCAACCGUGGAGGGUCAUUGGAAACUGGAGAACUUGAGUACAGAAGAGGAAAGCGGAAUUCCACGUGUAGCGGUGAAAUGCGUAGAGGUGUGGAGGAACACCAGUGGCGAAGGCGGCUUUCUGGUCUGUAACUGACGCUGUGGCGCGAAAGCGUGGGGAGCAAACAGGAUUAGAUACCCUGGUAGUCCACGCCGUAAACGAUGAGUGCUAAGUGUUAGGGGGUUUCCGCCCCUUAGUGCUGCAGCUAACGCAUUAAGCACUCCGCCUGGGGAGUACGGCCGCAAAGGCUG
rnacentral:rRNA from 1 species